CCCUUAGACGUUCUGGGCCGCACGCGCGCUACACUGACCAGUGCAACAAGCAUCCGUCCUUGGCCGACAGGCUCGGGCAAUCUUUGAACGCUGGUCGUGAUGGGGAUAGACUUUUGCAAUUUUUGGUCUUCAACGAGGAAUUCCUAGUAAACGCAAGUCAUCAACUUGCAUUGAUUACGUCCCUGCCCUUUGUACACACCGCCCGUCGCACCUACCGAUUGAAUGGUCCGGUGAAGCCUCCGGAUUGGCGCGCACCUCGGUGCCGCCGAGAAGUUGGUUAAACCUUNCNAUUUAUNGGAAGGUGAANUCGUANCA
rnacentral:rRNA from 1 species